UGACCGAUAGUGAACCAGUACCGUGAGGGAAAGGUGAAAAGAACCGCGGGAGCGGAGUGAAAUAGAACCUGAAACCGUAUGCUUACAAGAAGUCAGAGCCCGUUAAAGGGUGAUGGCGUGCCUUUUGUAGAAUGAACCGGCGAGUUACGUUAUCGUGCGAGGUUAAGUAGAAGAUACGGAGCCGAAGCGAAAGCGAGUCUUAAUAGGGCGACAGUACGAUGAUGUAGACCCGAAACCGUGUGAUCUAGCCAUGACCAGGUUGAAGUUCAGGUGAAACUGAAUGGAGGACCGAACCGACCCCCGUUGAAAAGUUGGCGGAUGAGUUGUGGCUAGGGGAGAAAUUCCAAUCGAACACGGAUAUAGCUGGUUCUCCCCGAAAUAGCUUUAGGGCUAGCGUCGAGGCUUAGUCAUGUGGAGGUAGAGCACUGAAUGUACGAUGGCCCCAUCCCGGGGUACUGAGUAUAAUCAAACUCCGAAUGCCAUGAAGACGUACUCGGCAGUCAGACUGUGGGUGAUAAGGUCCAUGGUCAAAAGGGAAACAGCCCAGACCGCCAGUUAAGGUCCCAAAAUGCAUGCUGAGUGGAAAAGGAUGUGGGGAUGCACAGACAACUAGGAGGUUGGCUCAGAAGCAGCCACCCUUCAAAGAGUGCGUAACAGCUCACUAGUCGAGUGACCCUGCGCCGAAAAUGUACCGGGGCUAAGCAUGCUACCGAAGCUGCGGAUUUGUAGGAAUACAAGUGGUAGGGGAGCGUUCUAUGCAGCGUCGAAGCCAUAUCGUGAGGAGUGGUGGAGCGCAUAGAAGUGAGAAUGCCGGUGUGAGUAGCGAGAUGUAGGUGAGAAUCCUACACACCGAUAGCCCAAGGAUUCCAGGGGAAGGUUCGUCCGCCCUGGGUAAGUCGGGACCUAACGCGAGGCCGAAAGGCGUAGUGGAUGGAAAACAGGCAGAUAUUCCUGUACCCGCGAUGGAAAUGAAGGAAUGACGGAGAAGGUAAGUAUGACCCACUAAAUGGAUUGUGGGCGAAGCGUAUAGCAGGAUGGCAGUGAAAUGCGUCAUCAGGAUGUAAAGCGUGAAAGGUAAGGGAACGCCCAAGGGCAAGUACCGAAGCAUAUGCAGCCAGCUUCCAGGAAAAGUUUCUAGUAUAUUCCAUAGCGGCCCGUACCAAAACCGACACAGGUGGGCAAGGAGAGGAUCCUGAGGUGAGCGAGAGAACUGUUGCCAAGGAACUCGGCAAAAUGACUCCGUAAGUUAGCGAUAAGGAGUGCUCUUGUAAAAGAGAGCCGCAGUGAAGAGGCCCAAGCGACUGUUUAACUAAAACACAGCUCUCUGCAAAGUCGCAAGACGAAGUAUAGGGGGUGACGCCUGCCCGGUGCUGGAAGGUUAAGAGGAUAUGUUAGUCGCAAGACGAAGCAUUGAAUUGAAGCCCCAGUGAACGGCGGCCGUAACUAUAACGGUCCUAAGGUAGCGAAAUUCCUUGUCAGGUAAGUUCUGACCCGCACGAAAGGCGUAA
rnacentral:rRNA from 1 species